rnacentral:tRNA from 1 species
GGGGUUGUAUCUCAGUGGCAGAGUGCUUGCCUAGCAUGCAUGAGGCAUUGGGUUCGAUACUUAGCACCA